rnacentral:lncRNA from 1 species
UUUUCCGGCCUGGAAGAUGAUGUUGAUGUUUUUGCACUCCCAGCAGGAGAGGCAACCCCUCGCAAACAGACCUCAGCUCUGGGGACUCAGCAGGCCCAGGCUUGGGCUCUGAAAGUCGCUGCAGGCUGUCGCAUGAACAGCAUCCCCUGAACACGGGAGGAGAAUGUGCCUGCAGCUCUCGAAGCCCUAAACUUUCCUCCUCCUCGGGGCAGGGAAUGCCUUCCUGAAAGUCUUUCCAUCGUUGUCUUAAUACCCCUCGGUCAACGUAAUACUUCAAAAAGAUUCUUGCUGCAAAGGCAUCCUCUUUGGAGAAUGUGUCCAGGGCAGAAGCAACUUCCUAGCUUCCCUGCUCACUGCCCCCAGCUGUUUCCUAUCCAGACCCAUCGCCGCCCUCAGGGGACCUGGUUAAGUACCCGAGGAUCACACCCCUGUUGAAUCCCAGAGUCGCUUAGAAGCA